UACGGAGGGUGCAAGCGUUAUCCGGAUUUACUGGGUUUAAAGGGUGCGUAGGUGGGUAGGUAAGUCAGUGGUGAAAUCUUCGAGCUUAACUCGGAAACUGCCAUUGAUACUAUUUAUCUUGAAUACUCUGGAGGUAAGCGGAAUAUGUCAUGUAGCGGUGAAAUGCUUAGAUAUGACAUAGAACACCAAUUACGAAGGCAGCUUACUACAUAGUUAUUGACACUGAGGCACGAAAGCGUGGGGAGCAAACAGG
rnacentral:rRNA from 1 species